ANCAGGAUUAGAUACCCUGGUAGUNCACGCCGUAAACGAUGAGUGCUAGGUGUUGGGUCCUUUCCGGGACUCAGUGCCGCAGCUAACGCAUUAAGCACUCCGCCUGGGGAGUACGACCGCAAGGUUGAAACUCAAAGGAAUUGACGGGGGCCCGCACAAGCGGUGGAGCAUGUGGUUUAAUUCGAAGCAACGCGAAGAACCUUACCAGGUCUUGACAUCCCGGUGCCCGUCCUAGAGAUAGGAUUUUGCUUCGGCACACCGGUGACAGGUGGUGCAUGGUUGUCGUCAGCUCGUGUCGUGAGAUGUUGGGUUAAGUCCCGCAACGAGCGCAACCCUUGUUGUUAGUUGCCAUCAUUAAGUUGGGCACUCUAGCGAGACUGCCGGUAAUAAACCGGAGGAAGGUGGGGAUGACGUCAAAUCAUCAUGCCCCUUAUGACCUGGGCUACACACGUGCUACAAUGGCUGGUACAACGAGUCGCAAGUCGGUGACGGCAAGCUAAUCUCUUAAAGCCAGUCUCAGUUCGGAUCGUAGGCUGCAACUCGCCUACAUGAAGUCGGAAUCGCUAGUAAUCGCGGAUCAGCACGCCGCGGUGAAUACGUUCCCGGGCCUUGUACACACCGCCCGUCACACCACGAGAGUUUGUAACACCCGAAGUCGGUGAGGUAAC
rnacentral:rRNA from 1 species